UGACAAACAGGAAAAGGAAAAAAAAAACAAUGAAUUAAGGUAUACACAACAGAAGACUGCGCUUCCGUUCGUUCACGUCGGGGAUUGCAGUGCCUUGGGAUUGUGGAGGAUUAUAUUUUGUCGGGGAGUUUCCAAAUUGGGAUGGGUGGGCUGAGUGGAAUGGGAUGUACAGGGAUGAUGUUAGAAGAUUUAUCAAGGGUAUGAAAGGAAGCUUUGCUACUCGGGUUGCAGGAUCUUCUGAUCUUUACCAGGUUAACCAGCGGAAGCCUCCUUACCACGGUGUAAAUUUCAUAAUUGCGCAUGAUGGAUUCACAUUGAGAGAUCAUACAAUUCUAAGGUACUUUUGAUUUCUCAUGUAAUGAUGUUGCAGCCUGGAUGAGUGUCCAUUCCUUACAUAUCUCUUCUGUAAUCUGGAACUGUGGUUUGGAAGGGGAAACUGGCAGAUGAAGAAUUUUCAUUUAGCUUUGAUGAUUUCUCAGGUAAAACCAUUACCAACAUACAUGAAUGAUAUUGUUGUUAACAAUCUUAUAUGAGACCGACCUUGAUCAAUGAUGCUAAUGGGAGACGAAUAUGGACAUUACCCGAUAUGGUAAUAACAAUAGCUAAUACUGCUCUCAACAAUUUCCAGUGGAAAGAGGCAAGUCUUAUAUCUUAUAAGUUAAUAUGGAUGGAUUCUCCCCUGUAAGGCUGUAACUGUUGUAUCAUGGCUUGUUUGUUAUUUUAAAAUCCAGCUCGACGCAAAGAAUAGCAGAACCAUUUUAGGUUCUUUUCAGAGUUGAUCAAGUUCCGACAUACACACCAUGCAUGUGUACUCAAGCACGAAAAUUUCCUCAGCAAAGCUCCAUGAUAGUGUAAGCGGCCAAGAUGUGUAUGCGGCUUUCAACCCCCAUGACUACUUUGUCACCGUCGAGAAAACAAUGGUUCCGUGCGGCUGACACAAACAUGGAGUCACCAGAUGAUUUUGUAAAGGAAGGUGUGUCUGAGACAUACAAUGUGGCUCCAUUCUCUUCGAUCCCUCUCAAGUCCAUGUAAAGGAAAGUACAUCCUUGGUCUGAUCCAUAAGUAUUUGAUUAAUAUGUAAAAUUCUAAAAUAGAAGACAACUUCUAUCAAAAGAUGCAAAAAUAUAUAAUUUAUUUCGAGG